rnacentral:lncRNA from 1 species
GAAUUCGAUUUGCUACUUUAAGUUUCCAUGUUCGAUUCAAAGUUUGUUGAGAAAGUUUUCAACUACAAACCUUAAAAGGGUAGGCAUAUAUUUGUCGUGUUGGAUCAUCCCAGCUCCUAAAGCCAAAACCUUUUCUCUUUUCCUUUCCCAUCUAAACCUUGGCAUGCUGAAAUUAUGACCAAUAUAUGUUAAGUUUUGACAAAUGCACGUCAUAUUGAAAUUUCCAUCAAACACAUCCCUUUAGAGUUAAAAGUCGAAUAGGGGAUUUAGGGUACACCAAGCGCACAAGGCGACACAAGAAUAAUAGUCGGAACAUGUUAAGAUUCAAAGAAUUU